AUUGAACGCUGGCGGCAUGCUUUACACAUGCAAGUCGAACGGUAACAGGCCGCAAGGUGCUGACGAGUGGCGAACGGGUGAGUAAUGCAUCGGAACGUGCCCAGUCGUGGGGGAUAACGCAGCGAAAGCUGUGCUAAUACCGCAUACGAUCUAUGGAUGAAAGCGGGGGACCGUAAGGCCUCGCGCGAUUGGAGCGGCCGAUGUCAGAUUAGGUAGUUGGUGGGGUAAAGGCCUACCAAGCCGACGAUCUGUAGCUGGUCUGAGGGGACGACCAGCCACACUGGGACUGAGACACGGCCCAGACUCCUACGGGAGGCAGCAGUGGGGAAUUUUGGACAAUGGGCGCAAGCCUGAUCCAGCAAUGCCGCGUGCAGGAAGAAGGCCUUCGGGUUGUAAACUGCUUUUGUACGGAACGAAACGGUCUGGGUUAAUACCCUGGAGUCAUGACGGUACCGUAAGAAUAAGCACCGGCUAACUACGUGCCAGCAGCCGCGGUAAAAC
rnacentral:rRNA from 1 species